AAAAUGAAAUGAGCCCAGCCCA
rnacentral:miRNA from 1 species